rfam:Lactobacillus similis DSM 23365 = JCM 2765 strain DSM 23365 NODE_398, whole genome shotgun sequence.
GGGGACGUUAUGGAUUCGACAGGUAUAGGUUGAGUCCGGACUGCGUUUCGUAGCGAGGUUCUACGUUAAAACCCUCACCUAAAUUUUAACUGCAAAUAACAGUUCAAAAUCUUUCGCAUUAGCUGCCUAAUAAGCGCUAAGUGAAGAUCCGCCUGACUUCGCCCAUGAGGCAGAUACGGGUCCUAAAUUGAGUGGGCUUACGCUAACGGCUCCCAUCUGAAGUCGUUAGAAGAGACUAAUCAGGUUAGCUAAUCAUGUUUGGCCCUGACAGGCGGCGAAUUGGUUAGCGAAACUCAAGUAGUCUGAAUAUAAGCGUAGAGGUUCGGAUGGCAAUAUGCUUGGACGCGGGUUCGACUCCCGCCGUCUCCAUUA